GGUUUUAUGGGGUAGUGGUUAUCCCCUGAGAUUUUGAAGGUUCUGUCGUUCAUUCCAGACGACUAACACUUGAGAUUCUCAUGACCCCGGUUCGAGUCCGGGUAAGACCU
rfam:Sphaerobolus stellatus SS14 unplaced genomic scaffold SPHSTscaffold_53, whole genome shotgun sequence.